AUUGAACGCUGGCGGCAGGCCUAACACAUGCAAGUCGACCUUAGUGGCGAAAGGGUGAGUAACACGUGGGUAACCUGCCCAUCAGAAGGGGAUAACACUUGGAAAAAGGUGCUAAUACCGUAUACAGAUGGAUGGACCCGCGGUUAAUUAGCUAGUUGGUGAGGUAACGGCUCACAAAGGCCACGAUGCAUAGCCGACCUGCGAGGGUGGUCGGCAACAGUGGGACUGCGACCCGGCCCAAAAUCCUACGGGAGGCAGCAGUAGUGAAUCGUCGGCAAUGGACGAAAGUCUGACCGAGCAACGCCGCGUGAGUGAAGAAGGUUUUCGGAUCGUAAAACUCUGUUGUUAGAGAAGCGGUAUCUAACCAGAAAGCCACGGCUAACUACGUGCCAGCAGCCGCGGUAAUAC
rnacentral:rRNA from 1 species